AUGGGCAAGUUGGAUCUGACGGAAGAGGAAGCCACACCAUUGGUGAUCGACGACGUCGACGGGGGCGAUCCGGCGAAGUGGUCACUGGCUGGGAAAGUUCUUCAUCGUCACACGUUCCACAUCCAGAUGAUCUCCAAUGCUCUUCGACCUGCCUGGGGGAACCCUAAAGGCCUGUCUUCCAGGUCGGUGGGGGUAAACAUCUUUGUGGCGGAAUUCACCAGCAAGCGCGAUCGUGAUCGCGUCUGGGACGGAAGCCCGUGGCACAUCAGCAAGCACGCUGUCAUCCUGACGGAGUUUUCCGAGUGCAUGAAACCAUCUGAACUAAAGUUUGACAGACUGCAACUAUGGGCUAGGGUCCUUAACCUACCCUUUAAUCUUCGCAAUGAAAAGAGAGGGCAGGCAGUGGCAAAACAGAUAGAUGUGAACGCCCACUCAGUACAGUUUGACCCCAUUGGGGGAUUUUUGAGGACAAGAGUAACUAUUGAUGUCAGCAAGCCUUUGCGGAGGUGGAUCCUUAUAGAUUCAGUGGCUCGUGGUGGUCGCGACUGGUACGGCAUUCAGUAUGAAAAUGUCCCGAACUUUUGCUUUUCUUGUGGCCGACUAGGUCAUUCGGACCUGCUUUGUCCAACGCCGGGAACCAGGGAUGAGAAUGGCGAGCUACCCUUCAAAACCAGUACCCGUGCACCGGAGGACAAAAAGAAACCGACUUCUAGCGAGAGCUCAGGAGCUAGCCAGACUAAUGCAAAAUCAAGUGGGAAAGCAGACGUUCCUGAAUCCAGUGCUACUCGUGAUGGUAAUCAGGAGGUAGUCUCUCUCGGGAAGAGCAACAGCAACGGCAAGAACAAGAGGAAAGGGGGACCUCCGAAGCAAGUUUACAGAAAGGUUAUUAUGCCCGCGCCAACUGCAGAAUUGGAAGGUGAACAGCAGACCAACGCCAUCAUGCCGUAUAACCCUGCAGCAGCAAGUGGCGAAGAUACAGUUGAAGGUGCAGAAGUAGAACGAGCACCAAAGAAGAAGAGAGAAACACCCACGACUUCAGACAACUCGGCGGGAGCUGCUAAUCAGCCCUGCCCGUCGCAAUGA
rnacentral:rRNA from 1 species